GUUGUUGUAGUAUAGCGGUGAGUAUUCUCGCCUGUCACACGGGUGACUUGGGUUUGAUCCCUGACAACAACG
rnacentral:tRNA from 1 species